rnacentral:tRNA from 1 species
CGGCGUCCGGCGCGGGCGAGCGCGGCGGACAUGGCGCGUUCGGGCUGGAGGGAGGGGUGCAGAUAGCCGCCGUUGAACUCGACGACGCCCG